CUGCAUGAUGCGUCCUACAUCCACACCUGUGCCCUAGGUGUUCGUGUACGUGGGACUCUAAUAUUAGUGGUUACCAUAUGAUCAGCCGUACGCAAAUAAUCUUUUGAUUUCAGACACUCAGGAAGACAGCAGCGUUAUUCGUGGAGACACCCAGAGCAGGAGGAGGAGGAGAACUCAAUUUUAAGAACUAAUGGGUACCUAUACAGUGAUGAUAAAGCUAGCGGUGGUAGUCCUACUCUGUCUUGCACUCACCGUUGAUGCCCAGUCACAGGCAUUCGGUAGAGGGCACUGCCGAGGACAACGCUGUGAACAUCCGUGUUUCUGUUCGAGGAAAUACGACCCCGUGUGUGGCAGUAACGGAAUCCCCUAUAGCAUCGCAUGUAGAAUAAGGUG